AAUAGAUACCCUGGUAGUCCACGCUGUAAACGUUGGGCGCUAGAUGUGGGGGAUCUUUCCACGACUUCCGUGUCGUAGCUAACGCAUUAAGCGCCCCGCCUGGGGAGUACGGCCGCAAGGCUAAAACUCAAAGGAAUUGACGGGGGCCCGCACAAGCGGCGGAGCAUGCGGAUUAAUUCGAUGCAACGCGAAGAACCUUACCAAGGUUUGACAUGCACCGGAAUACCCUGGAGACAGGGGACUCUUUGAUACUGGUGUGCAGGUGGUGCAUGGUUGUCGUCAGCUCGUGUCGUGAGAUGUUGGGUUAAGUCCCGCAACGAGCGCAACCCUUGUCGCAUGUUGCCAGCACGUUAUGGUGGGGACUCAUGUGAGACUGCCGGGGUCAACUCGGAGGAAGGUGGGGAUGACGUCAAAUCAUCAUGCCCCUUAUGUCUUGGGCUUCACGCAUGCUACAAUGGCCGGUACAGAGGGCUGCGAUGUUGUGAGGCGGAGCGAAUCCCGUUAAAGCCGGUCUCAGUUCGGAUUG
rnacentral:rRNA from 1 species